UACGUAGGGGGCAAGCGUUGUCCGGAUUUAUUGGGCGUAAAGAGCUCGUAGGUGGUUCGGUAAGUCGGAUGUGAAAUCUCCAGGCUCAACCUGGAGGGGUCAUUCGAUACUGCCGUGACUAGAGGUCGGUAGGGGAGUGUGGAAUUCCUGGUGGAGCGGUGAAAUGCGCAGAUAUCAGGAGGAACACCGAUGGCGAAGGCAGGUCUCUGGGCCGCAACUGACGCUGAGGCGCGAAAGCGUGGGGAGCAAACAGG
rnacentral:rRNA from 1 species